CAGCAGCCGCGGGAAUACGUAGGUGGCAAGCGUUGUCCGGAAUUAUUGGGCGUAAAGGGCUCGCAGGCGGUUUCUUAAGUCUGAUGUGAAAGCCCCCGGCUCAACCGGGGAGGGUCAUUGGAAACUGGGAAACUUGAGUGCAGAAGAGGAGAGUGGAAUUCCACGUGUAGCGGUGAAAUGCGUAGAGAUGUGGAGGAACACCAGUGGCGAAGGCGACUCUCUGGUCUGUAACUGACGCUGAGGAGCGAAAGCGUGGGGAGCGAACAGGAUUAGAUACCCCUGUAGUCCCUGUCGCUUAUAC
rnacentral:rRNA from 1 species